CUACGGGCGGCUGCAGUGGGGAAUAUUGGACAAUGGGGGGAACCCUGAUCCAGCCAUGCCGCGUGUGUGAAGAAGGCCCUCGGGUUGUAAAGCACUUUCAGUGAGGAAGAACGCCUGGUGGUUAAUACCCAUCAGGAAAGACAUCACUCACAGAAGAAGCACCGGCUAACUCCGUGCCAGCAGCCGCGGUAAUACGGAGGGUGCGAGCGUUAAUCGGAAUUACUGGGCGUAAAGCGCGCGUAGGUGGCUUGAUAAGCCGGUUGUGAAAGCCCCGGGCUCAACCUGGGAACGGCAUCCGGAACUGUCAAGCUAGAGUGCAGGAGAGGAAGGUAGAAUUCCCGGUGUAGCGGUGAAAUGCGUAGAGAUCGGGAGGAAUACCAGUGGCGAAGGCGGCCUUCUGGACUGACACUGACACUGAGGUGCGAAAGCGUGGGUAGCAAACAGGAUUAGAUACCCGGGUAGUC
rnacentral:rRNA from 1 species